UGAAACCAACACAGAAGAAAGGAGCUCUGAGAUGAUUGCAGAGAUGGAAAUGAAGUCUGAUGACAUUGAGCAUCUAGCCCCAGACACCUGGGCUAGACUUUGCAGUCACUUGACCCAACACAUGAAGGAGACAUGCUAUGUCCACCCGGAGGCCUGUACAGAAUCAUUCAUCCUGCAUCAUUCUGAGUAACCACCAUGAGAAACGACACAGGCAAGGUGUCAGCUGCUCUCUUUGUUGUGAAUGCAUUUCCCAGAAUCUGGCCUGAUGGAUACAAAAAGAAAAUUUGAUCCUCAUUCAAGAAGAUAUGCACCUCACCCCCAGAAGUGGGUCAGAAAAAUGGGCAUCCUGCCAUACCCCAAAGUGCACCCUACAAAUGAGUCAAUUGAAGACUCACCAAGAGAACAAAAGAACUAUGCAGGCAGUAUACAGCAUGAUCUGACCCUCAUAGCGUCGUCUUUUCUGUAUUUGCAGUUGGCCUCAAGAACCAGUGAAAAGGUCACUGCCGUAGACUCUGGCCCUGGGUCCACAUCAAGCAAACCUCCCUGAGUGAUUCCUGAACAGCAUCACCAAUGACUGACAGUCACUCUGCGUCCUUCCAGCUCUCCCCGAGGGCCUGGUGGAGGAGCUGCCCAGGGACAGGGCAGAGGAAGAGAGUCCAUUUAAUGCCAAGGUGGCCUCAGGGGUAACUGAAAAUGGUACGUACUCUGGAAUCAAUCAUUUGCUUGGGGAAAAAAUGCUGAUGAUAAGGAAGGUGGGCUUUGUUUGCUGGCUUUCAUCUGGAGAGCCACCCUGAUUCUGAAUUCCUGCUGGGAACAAGGGCUGAGGAUGUGAUGAAAGAAGCUGAUUUCCCAGGCAAAGAACCAUGGCUGUUUUUCAAGAAGCAGUUUCAUUGCCUUUAAGUGGUGACAGGUUGUGUGCAUAGCAGUGGGCUGUUGUCUGUGUGAUCUGGGUGGUGUGAUUCUGAGUGUGCAUGUGCACAUGUGUGUGUCUGUGUGUGUGUUUCCCUAGAUUGCCUCCAGCAAGGCAACUGCCAGUGUCAGCUUCUAAAUGAAAAAUCCCAUCGCUACUGUUUCAUGUGAUUAUAUCUGUUUCAAAAUGUAUCAAAUUGUACACUUAAAAUGUGUGCAGUUCUUGUAUGGCAGGAAUACCUCAAUAAGCUCAGGGGAAAAAUCCCAUCACCAGCGAGGCAAAUGUUCAUAGGGUUCCAAGUGGACAAAAGUGUGUUUCAGAAUCACUGUGAUUGAGUCAAUAACAACUUCUAUUAAUAAUUCUCACCUCCGUCGAGCCCUUUAUAGUGUCUUCAGGCAGUUUGAUUGGUGGUGAAUGAAAAGCAGCCAUCAUUGUCCUUAUUUCACAUAAGAGAAAACAGAGGCUGGAGAAGAUUACAGGCGGUCUCAGCAUUAAACCUCCCCCAUCUCGGCUAUGGUGCUGGGGCAGGGUUCCUUCCUUUAGCAGGAGCCCCGGGGGGAACCCACAUGUCAUUCCCGGUUCUGAAGGAAUCUGAGAAGGGAGCCUCCAGGAAGAGAUUCAGCCCAACUUUCACCAACUGAGAUCUCAUAUUUUGCUUCAGAAAAUGUUGCCAAGAGUAGCAAGUGCCAUUGUCGUGUGGAAAGUCAGAACCGUCACUAAUGCCAGGCCUAGUUUCUGUGUUCUGGGCAUGAAACACUGGACAGAGAUCUCCUUCAGGGACCGAGCGUCAGGAGCUCCCUUCCUGGGAGGAUGAAGGGGAGGUUACGCGUUGCGAGGUGGGGAAAGAGGAACUCAGCAGUGGGAUAGGAACUUCGCCACUCACGUCCCUGUCAAACCUGCCAGAGGAAAUAGGGUCUGGGUUUCUUCCGAAGCCUUAACAAGUCAAGGGAGUUAUUUCAAGUCAAUAUAAAAUGAGACAAAGUAGGGUUUGGGUUUCCUUUUGGAUCAUGAAUCUUGUGUGGAAUGGAUUGUAUUUUAAUAGAAUUUGAUAGUCCUGUAGGCAUCAGUAUUUUUCCCUACAAAACAAAAAGAUGAAACUGCUAGACUGAAAGAUGUCACUGGUCAGAUCAGCGGUGGAAAGGCUAGUAAACUACUCUGCAAGGAGCAAGCAGGGGACAGGUGGUCACAUCUUCCCCCUCUUUGGAUUCUAGAGCUGCACUGCCCAGUCUGGUAGCCACCAGCCGGAUGUACCUGUUCAUAUUUAAAUUAAUUAAAUUAAAUCAGAUUAAGCAUUUGUUCCUUCAUCACACUAGACACGUUUCAAGUGCCCAAGAGCCCUAUGUUCAUACAAAUGAACUUAUUUACAAAACAGAAACAGACUCGAAGACUUAGAGAAUGAACUUACCAUUAUGGAGGGAAGGGUGGGAUGGACGGAUAGUUAGGGAAUUUGGGAUCAACAUGCACACGCUGCUAUAUUUAAAACGGAUAACCAGCAAGGACCUACCAUAUAGCACAGGGAAAUCUGCUCAAUGUUACGUGGCAGGCUGGAUGGAAGGGGCGUCUGGGGGAGAAUGGAUACAUGUAUAUGUAUGGUUGAGUCACUUUGCUGUGCACCUGAAACUAUCACAACAUUG